rnacentral:rRNA from 1 species
AUUGAACGCUGGCGGCAGGCCUAACACAUGCAAGUCGAACGAGUGGCGGACGGGUGCGUCAUGUCUGGGCAACUGCCUGAUGGAGGGGGAUAACUACUGGAAACGGUAGCUAAUACCGCAUACCAUCAGAUGUGCCCCGAUGGGAUUAGCUAGUUGGUGGGGUAACGGCUCACCAAGGCGACGAUCCCUAGCUGGUCUGAGAGGAUGACCAGCCACACUGGAACGGAGACACGGUCCAGACUCCUACGGGAGGCAGCAGUGGGGAAUAUUGCACAAGGGGCGCAAGCCGGAUGCAGCCAUGCCGCGUGUAUGAAGAAGGCCGUCGGGUUGUAAAGUACUUUCAGAGGGGAGGCGUUACCCGAAGAAGAAGCACCGGCUAACUCCGGGCCAGCAGCCGCGGUAAUUC